AAGUCAAACCCCUUACCUCAAGAAGGCCAUUGUUUUGCAUAAGAGUGUUACCAUUUGCCAAGAGAAGGCAUUGAGUGUUACCAUUUGCGCCCAAGGGGGGGAAGCUCCUUUUAUACUCUCCACAGGUAGCUUGCAGAAGAGGUGCUUCCUACUCUGAUAGGUUAGCCUUCCAUCUCUAAUGGAUACAUCAGUUUUAUUUUUGCAUGCAUGAAAUUUCCUUUUCUUUUUCUAAUGACAAUAUUUCUUGAAAUUAUUUGGUGAAAUUUAGGUAUUUAAAUACUUUUUUUUUUCCGAAAAAAAAAAUUGAAACUAAUUUUCCCAGUCCUAAAAGUUCGCAUGAAUAAUCUUCAAUUGGAUCGCCCAUCUCUUUAUCUAAUGGUCAGAUUAAACAACCACCAUUGAUGAAUAUUCAUCAAGACAUGCACACAUGAUGUUUCAUGAAUAUUCCCGAAUAAAGCGGCCAAUCCGAUUAGGGUUUCUUCCUACUUUUAAGCCUAAAUGUCUUCAAAUUUCCUUGGAAAAUCCGAACCCCACACCCAAAUUCGUACCAACAGAAAACUGAAACCAACUGUUGUUUCUGAAACCCGCUAGCCAGAUCAAGAAAAUUUUCGACAAAUCUGAGCCGUCGUACUGUAAAAGAAUGAUUUUAAAAUUCAAAAUUCAACUGCCCGGAAUGGGUAGUACGGUUUAACACUUUCAGUCUCGAACUGGGUUUCCUGUUGUUUGUCGGAAAUGGUUUGUAGGGUUUAACUCUGCCAAUCUCGAACUGGGGUUUUGGAAGAUUUAAUUCCUUCUGGAUUGCGAGAGUUCCUUGUUCGGAAAUUUGGACAAGUGAAGAAAAUAUUCUCUGAGAAUUUGCCAAGGAUAUUGCAGCAGGGUAGAUCCAUGCAAGAACUGAUGCAAUUUUCAACAAUGGUGGGUUCAGAUUUUUCUUGAAGAAUGAGAAGUUUUGGCUCCAAGAAGUUCUGAGGUUUUUGGAUCCACAGCAUUAAGUUGGAUUCGGGGAGAUGUACUAAGCGUGUCCCAUGUAGAAACAGCACAACAUUUUUCCCUCAUCUCUUUAUUAUCUAGCCGCCAUUUGAAGUUCUAAACUAGCAAUUCUUUCAGGAUACCAAAUUUAGGAGAUCAUCUUUCGUUAAGAGUUGAUUUCCGUUGGUCCCUCCUUUGAUUUCACACGCUAAACCGGAUUAGUCUACCCAAAAGGGCAGCUACCAUUUCAACAAGUUUCUGAAGAUCCAAGGCAUCCAAUAGGAUCAAUUAUGCAAAGAAAGCAAACAAAUCAACAGACACGCCAAAAGACGAUGAACUGGUUGAAAAUCGUCUAUGAUUGUCUUCCAAGACUCGCAGUUCCUGUUGGCCCACGAUUUCAGGCUGAUUUGCCGGCUUGUACAAGCUCACCAAAUGAUUAUGGUGGUGAUGGCGAGUCCGAUACUUUGAGGUGGUUGGGCACUCGAACGUGGCCAAUCAAAGGAAAAAGAACAGAAACUAACCGAGGUGUAAUUGGGAAAGGGAGACCUGACUUCUGCCGCUGUGAGUCUCCUGGAUCCGUAGAAUGCAUACAAAUCCACAUUACUGACAAGAGAAUACAGCUGCAAUUUGAUCUGGGUCCUGCUUUUUGGGUUUGGAAAUUUGACGAAAUGGGGGAAGAUGUUUCUAAGUUGUGGACUUCACAGGAACAGAGAAACUUUGAGUCUCUUGUGAAAUUGAAUCCCCUAUCAGAAGGCAAAAGUUUCCUGAAGCCAGCGUGGGAAUGUUUCUCAUCCAAGCCGAAAGAGAGUAUAGUGAGUUACUACUUCAAUGUAUUCGUCCCAAGGCGCAUUGGCAUGCUGACCAGGUCGGGAUGUAAAAUAGUUGACAGUGAUGAUGAUGAGGCUAGAGAAGAACUUAGCAUCAAAGAUUCUCGAAAAAGGUAUCAAGAUGAUCACGAUAUAUUGCAUUGUUCUAAAACUGUGAAGACUAGGUACUUGACCGGGCGAAGAUGAUGCUGCUAUUCCUCACCCACUUUUAUUUUGAACUCAUUCCUUUCCCUGGUUGAGUUUUAAAUGCUUUUUUUGCAGUGUUCACUGUAUACUUUUGCUUCACAUUUACUGCACAAAAGAUUUUGGAUAUAACUUGAUAUUGAAUACUAGACCAAGGUGCCUCUUUGGGACAGCUUUUUAGUUAA